CUGCUGAGCCAUCUCUCCAGCCCCAAUAAAAUAUCUUUUACAAGUUUCUGUAGAGAGCUGGAGAGAUGGCUCAGCAGU
rnacentral:miRNA from 1 species